rnacentral:rRNA from 1 species
AGCGAACGCUGGCGGCAGGCCUAACACAUGCAAGUCGAACGAACCUUUCGGGGUUAUUGGCGGACGGGUGAGUAACACGUGGGAACGUGCCUUUAGGUUCGGAAUAACUCAGGGAAACUUGUGCUAAUACCGAAUGUGCCCUUCGGGGGAAAGAUUUAUCGCCUUUAGAGCGGCCCGCGUCUGAUUAGCUAGUUGGUUGAGGUAAUGGCUCACCAAGGCGACGAUCAGUAGCUGGUCUGAGAGGAUGAUCAGCCACAUUGGGACUGAGACACGGCCCAAACUCCUACGGGAGGCAGCAGUGGGGAAUCUUGCGCAAUGGGCGAAAGCCUGACGCAGCCAUGACGCGUGAAUGAUGAAGGUCUUAGGAUUGUAAAAUUCUUUCACCGGGGACGAUAAUGACGGUACCCGGAGAAGAAGCCACGGCUAACUUCGUG